rnacentral:rRNA from 2 species
AUCAUGAUUUACAUUUGAGUGAGUGGCGAACUGGUGAGUAACACGUGGGAAACCUGCCCAGAAGCGGGGGAUAACACCUGGAAACAGAUGCUAAUACCGCAUAACAACUUGGACCGCAUGGUCCGAGUUUGAAAGAUGGCUUCGGCUAUCACUUUUGGAUGGUCCCGCGGCGUAUUAGCUAGAUGGUGGGGUAACGGCUCACCAUGGCAAUGAUACGUAGCCGACCUGAGAGGGUAAUCGGCCACAUUGGGACUGAGACACGGCCCAAACUCCUACGGGAGGCAGCAGUAGGGAAUCUUCCACAAUGGACGAAAGUCUGAUGGAGCAACGCCGCGUGAGUGAAGAAGGGUUUCGGCUCGUAAAACUCUGUUGUUAAAGAAGAACAUAUCUGAGAGUAACUGUUCAGGUAUUGACGGUAUUUAACCAGAAAGCCACGGCUAACUACGUGCCAGCAGCCGCGGUAAUACGUAGGUGGCAAGCGUUGUCCGGAUUUAUUGGGCGUAAAGCGAGCGCAGGCGGUUUUUUAAGUCUGAUGUGAAAGCCUUCGGCUCAACCGAAGAAGUGCAUCGGAAACUGGGAAACUUGAGUGCAGAAGAGGACAGUGGAACUCCAUGUGUAGCGGUGAAAUGCGUAGAUAUAUGGAAGAACACCAGUGGCGAAGGCGGCUGUCUGGUCUGUAACUGACGCUGAGGCUCGAAAGUAUGGGUAGCAAACAGGAUUAGAUACCCUGGUAGUCCAUACCGUAAACGAUGAAUGCUAAGUGUUGGAGGGUUUCCGCCCUUCAGUGCUGCAGCUAACGCAUUAAGCAUUCCGCCUGGGGAGUACGGCCGCAAGGCUGAAACUCAAAGGAAUUGACGGGGGCCCGCACAAGCGGUGGAGCAUGUGGUUUAAUUCGAAGCUACGCGAAGAACCUUACCAGGUCUUGACAUACUAUGCAAAUCUAAGAGAUUAGACGUUCCCUUCGGGGACAUGGAUACAGGUGGUGCAUGGUUGUCGUCAGCUCGUGUCGUGAGAUGUUGGGUUAAGUCCCGCAACGAGCGCAACCCUUAUUAUCAGUUGCCAGCAUUAAGUUGGGCACUCUGGUGAGACUGCCGGUGACAAACCGGAGGAAGGUGGGGAUGACGUCAAAUCAUCAUGCCCCUUAUGACCUGGGCUACACACGUGCUACAAUGGAUGGUACAACGAGUUGCGAACUCGCGAGAGUAAGCUAAUCUCUUAAAGCCAUUCUCAGUUCGGAUUGUAGGCUGCAACUCGCCUACAUGAAGUCGGAAUCGCUAGUAAUCGCGGAUCAGCAUUCCGCGGUGAAUACGUUCCCGGGCCUUGU